GAUGAACGCUAGCGGCAGGCCUAAUACAUGCAAGACGAACGGUAAUUUCAAUAGCAAUAUUGAGACAAGAGUGUCGUAAGGGUGCGUAACACGUAUGCAAUCUGCCCUGUACAGGAGUAUAGCUCGGGGAAACUCGGAUUAAUCCUCCAUAAGAUGGGAUUUUGGCAUCAAGAUUCUAUUAAAACUGAGGUGGUACAGGAUGAGCAUGCGCAUGAUUAGCUAGUUGGCGGGGUAAAGGCCCACCAAGGCAAUGAUCAUUAGGGGAACUGAGGGGUUGAUCCCCCACACUGGCACUGAGCUACGGGCCAGACUCCUACGGGAGGCAGCAGUAGGGAAUAUUGGACAAUGGGUGGAAGCCUGAUCCAGCCAUGCCGCGUGCAGGAAGAAGGCCUUCUGGGUUGUAAACUGCUUUUGCCAGGGGAUAAAAUAUCCUUGCGAGGAGAAUUGAAGGUACCUGGUGAAUAAGCCACGGCUAACUACGUGCCAGCCGCCGCGGUAAAAC
rnacentral:rRNA from 1 species